rnacentral:lncRNA from 1 species
UUCAAAUCAUGCUAUUCUGGAUAAAGUGGUAUUUUCCAUACCUAUCUUCCAUGCAUAUGGCCACAAGAUGGAUUGCCAAGUUUUAUACAGUCCAAGGAGAGUGGCGGGAGUAGGAUUAACUGAUGGAGAGUGUAUGGAGCGACUGUGGUCGUACUUAGGAAAAUUCUCAAAGAUUACAAAGGAAAUGACGCCAUAAAAUCGAAUUGAUCUUCUUGUAGAUGGCCACAUACAUUAUGGACAAAAAAUAACUAGGAAAUUUGGUGAUGUUUUACCAACUAAAAUGACACGGGCAAUAGAAGUGGAGAAGACCAGCAGUGAAUCUUUGCAAACUUUGCUUCAACCAUUAAAUGGUAUUACAAAUGAAACAAUCAUUGCAUGGUGUGAAGAGGAGAAAACUGUUCAUACAUCUUCUGCAGUAACCCCAACAGAUGACAGUCAGCAUCUACUGGGAGUUUGCAGUUAGACAAGCUGGGAAACAGAUUGCAAAAACGUGUAAAGAAGUUUGAAAAGCUGACAGCACAGCAAUGGAAUUAUGGGGAUGCUGGGUUUUGGCAACAUUUAAAACAAGCCAAGAAGAAACUGCGACUGAAAGUCUUACAAAAGCUGCAAAGUAGUAUGUCAGAGAGAUUGUUCUUGUUAGAUUUGAUG